rnacentral:rRNA from 1 species
CCUACGGGUUGCACCAGUGGGGAAUAUUGGACAAUGGGCGAAAGCCUGAUCCAGCAAUGCCGCGUGUGUGAAGAAGGUCUUCGGAUUGUAAAGCACUUUCGACGGGGACGAUGAUGACGGUACCCGUAGAAGAAGCCCCGGCUAACUUCGUGCCAGCAGCCGCGGUAAUACGGAGGGGGCUAGCGUUGCUCGGAAUGACUGGGCGUAAAGGGUGCGUAGGCGGUUUAUGCAGUCAGAUGUGAAAUCCCCGGGCUUAACCUGGGAACUGCAUUUGAGACGCAUAGACUAGAGGUCGAGAGAGGGUUGUGGAAUUUCCAGUGUAGAGGUGAAAUUCGUAGAUAUUGGGAAGAACACCGGUGGCGAAGGCGACAACCUGGCUCGAUACUGACGCUGAGGAGCGAAAGCGUGGGGAGCAUACAGGAUUAGAUACCCGGGUAGUC